rnacentral:tRNA from 1 species
GCCUCCGUAGCACAGUAGCUAGUGCGCCUGACUUGUAAUCAGGAGGUCGCCGGUGCAACUCCGGCCGGGGGCU